UCUGAUGGUGCGAACGACGCAAAUCUUAACUUGAAAGGAUAUAUUAUAACUAAUCAGCACAAAGGUUGCCGGGGGACAAAAUGGACGGUUGUUCACUGGUAUUUAAAAUGGAGGACAAACUGAUUGAGUCGGUGUGUAGGUGCCCCGAUUUAUACGCUACCUUUUCUUUCAAUUACCGAAACCGGAAUAAAGAGGAGCUCGCCUUAAGGCAAGUGAGUGAGGAGGUCGGAUUACCUGGUAAAUUGUAAAAAACCUUGUCUAUCACUUGAUCCCGCUGGUUGAAUUGGCAGGGAUUACCAUUUAAAUUACUGUUGAUGCAUGAAUUAAGCAAGUAAAUACCAUUCAUUCUAGCGUGUAGACGCGAAUUAAGAGAUAAGUGAUUUUACUUGCGUUUGGUGUGAGCGCUCCAUAAGAUGUGGUGCUGCAACUAAGCUGAGUUGAUGAAAACCAAAUUAAGAGUUAGGUACUUAUUAUUAUAACUAUUAUAACUAUUAUUCCAGUUUUUGUCUUGUUUAGUGAGUUGUUCUAAAUGCGAAACAUAAAACGAAAAAAAAUCCUGUAACUGUAUAAAAAUGUUUGCAUAACAAUGCUACUUUCAAAUAUCCAAAACAGUUCUGAACUUUUUAUUCAAAUAAAAAGUGAACAUUUCACAAGUUACAGAGACCUCGGUGCAGUUCCAGUUCUGGUGCUGGUGGAGAGCCAGAGCAGUUCAGCCAUGACAGAGGCACAGCUGCAGGAUGUCAGGCUUAUUAGCAGUCAGAUAAAUAUCCACCUGCUCGAUGAGAUUUCCAGAGUGGCUGUGACUGCAGGCGAAAAACAGGACGAGCAGAGUAUGUUCAUCUCCUGUUUUGCAAGUUUUGUUGUAAAAUGUGGGCAUAUGCUAAAUGAACUGUUUAUCUGUAUAUCUUUACAGUGCAGUAUUCAGGGUGAUAUACAUAAAGGGAAAGUCACGUUCAGCCCGUGGUGUUUUUGAAUAUUUUCUUUCAGCACAACAACUGCAGACACGUUUGGAAACACUCACAUAAGCAUACCAGGUGAUAAUAACGUGUGAAUGGUCUGCAUGUCAGGGUCUAACACUGUUCGAGUGCAUGUCCAGUAUUUUCUUAAACAGCUGCAAAUGGAAACAGCAUUUCUCAUUCUGUGUACAAAGCAGUGAAUAAAAAGGGGUUGAGUAUGACAUAUUUAUUCAUCACUGCCGUCCAUAUAAAAGCAACAUUUUCAUAAAUCGUCACCUUGGAUGGUGUUUGGGAACAAAUGAUUUCAGUGACCUAAACCUCAGUUAACUUGUGGACGCAGAGGAAGACUGUUUUUGAAAAUAUUUGUAACUGGCUACAAAACAUGCAGUCGAGUUUUUUAAAAAGUGGAUAAUUGGACCGACCUAUAACUCUAUGCAGAUGACACGAUGUUGUUCACAGCUUUGUCAUCUGCAUAGAGUUACAGGUCAGUCUGACUGUAUGGAUUUGUUGAUUUUCUUGUUGUAUUCUGGUUCACUAUGAGCACACACUAAAGCAGGAAAUCUUAAAAUCCACAAAACUCAAACACUAAAGAUAGAGUUGGUAAUCUGAUUUAGAUACACUUUUUGUUAUUCUGGUUAAAAUGAUCUUUAUGUUCCAAUGGCAAUCAAUACAUGAUGUGUUUUUAAAACAGAGAGAGACAUAGCCACUAUCUACAGAAGGAGUAAAACUGGGAAAACACCAACCAAUCACACCGUGUGGGUCCGUCAUUUUUAAACCAAUCAAAUCCCGUGCUCCCCUCCUGAGUGUACACUGGCCCUGGUUUAAUGUGCAUAGCCGAGCUGACAGGGAUACAUCUAUGCUGGAGAAUGGCAGAGAAUCUACCUAUACCCACAUUAAAAGUGACGGCUCCUCCUGCAAAAAAGAGCAAGAAAAAAAAAGAAUGACGGAAGCAGAGAAGGCCAAAGCAAGACAGAGUUCGGAGAAAGCAAGGGGGAAAAUGAAAGUCAACAUCGGGACAGCUUUCAGCGAUGGAGAGAACUGAAAGAGGUAAUAGUCACUCAUUUUUUGUUGGAAAGGAACGUUGAGGGUUUGUUUCAGGGCGAUUUUUAAUCUCAAGUAUUUAGGCAUGUUGCUAGUUAUGUGGUCAUCCUGAUGCUGAAGUUACCUUCUUUGUCCCUGCUGUGCAAAGACUUCCCAAUCUAAAGUCCCAAAGUUUUGAGUCUGUGGUUUUUAAUCAGUAGACAGCAGCGCUCGUGCAUGUAAGCAGGGGCGUUGUUUUGGAGGAGCUCCAAGGGGAGGGGGUAGGGGAUAUACAAAGUCCUGAGGAGAUGCAACAUUCAAAUCCAUACUAGUUUGCCGCGAUUACCAACCCUAACUUUAACUUCCCACAGUAGAUGAAAACUUUGCAUACACCCAUAGAUCCAUGGCACACUUUUAACUCAGUGUCUUGAGUUUGCAUGUCCUUGUUUACACUGCGACUCAGUAGGACAGCAGCACAGGAGAAAAGUGUCACACUGUGUCCGAGAUUGUUAGGAAGCAACCCUUCCUCCAUCUGUUCAACUGUCCAGCAGGAAACUACAAAGGUGUGCACAGACUCCCUCCUUCCUCCCUGCCAGCCCUGCUUAAACUCUGAAUGAACACCUUGGCUGGGAACCAGAAUCUGACCCUCAGGCUUGAAAGAACCAGAAUCUGACCCCUCACUGCAGAGCAACAGUCCAGCUUUUUACUAUCAGAGUUAUGGGCAAUAAAUAGGUUUUAGUGAUGCAUUUAAAUAGCUUGGAAUUCACCACUUGAAAUUAAAUAUGCACUUUGGCAGUAUGUGCAUGGUGUUUGUUUUGCCGUCAACCAGCAGACAUUAAUUUUAAAUCUGCUUUGUGUUGUCGACACGGUAAUAAAGUAGUCUGAAUCUGUCAUCGCUCUGCACAGAGUUUCACCAGUUUCUUCUCAUUAUAAAUUAGCCUCCAGCAAAGCAAUAUGUUGGUUGCUGCUGCUGUGUCAAACUUGAUGUUUAACUACAGCAGCUAGCUUCAGAGGGAUAAAGUCAACAGCGUUUUUAUGUUGAAGAUGAUAAACUAACAUAAGAGCUGCGGCUUUAUGGAUGCUUUAAACCAAAGUGCUGCAUAGUAGAGAGUGGAUUUGAGCACGAGAGGACUUCAGGGAAUAAAAUUCACUGAACUGGAGGAUCAGAGUCUCUCAGAGGUCUUUUAAUUUGCUUUUGUCUUUGACUGGAGCAUCCAGGCUGUCCUCAAGCUCUUAAUCUAGAGAAGAGCGAAUGUGUUUGAAACCACUGAGAAGUUUUCAGUAAAGAAGACAAAAUAAUUGAUCUUAAGUCCUAGCUUUGUUAAACACAUCGACAUAUCAUUUCCACAUGACCUGUGCUUUUAACUGGGUACACCAUAUCCACAGUCUAUAACUGCACUGGUCAAAGGUGAACUAAAGAGUUGGUAAACACAGAGAUGAAGCUAAAAUUGGUCCAGCCUCCAAGACUCCUGCCAAGAGACUUCAUCAAUACAGUACAAACAGCUGUUAAGUGGAAAGACAAGCAGGGAAGGCAAACAUUGAUUUCCUAUUUGUUUUCAUGGCACUAAGGCCUCGAGACAUGCAGUACAUGUCAGGCUGAAAAUUGAAAAUGUGUAAAAUGAUGCACAAGACAGCUGGGACAGUGUUCAUGUAUCAUGUAGCAGAGCAGCUUCAAUCAGGCGUUAAAUUUAACACAAUGCAUAAAAUACGGAAAGAGAGGGACAAAGAUGCUUUAAAAUCAGCUCAUAGAGAAACUUCAGAAGAGUUAUCGUGUUAUUGAAGGUUUCACUCUUUACCAUUUGGAAAGGGUACACUUCCAAGUUUCGGUCGAUGAAAGUGUAUGCAUGAGUGAGAAAAUCAAUCCUCAACAGCAUUAUCCAGGUAUGUUCAUCUGGCUGAGAGGGGUUUGAUGUGGUGCAAUUUCAGUCACACUGUUUAAAAGUGUCUUUAAAGUCCAGUUCUAGUUGGACUAAUGCAGUAUAUCAACUUAACAAUAACAAUACAUAACAAGAACUUCAUUUAUCCCCAAAGAGAAAUUCAGGGAAAUGAAUUUUCUUUCAGGGAUAAAUAAAGUUCUUAUAUUGUAUUGUAUUGUUAAUGUCCUUCUCUCUUCUCUCUAGACCCAAUGCAUGUCUCAGCAGAUGACUGUCUAACAUGAGUCUGGUCCUGCUUGAGGUUUCUGCCUGUUAACGUAAGAUUUUCCUCUCCACUGAAACUUGCGUAGUGAUGCAAAGUGUUUCAUCCAUCGACUGUAUAUAGAAUGGACGCCGUCUGCCUCCUCGCUGAGUGAAGCCACUCCGAGAACAGCACACCCUGGUGACGGGCUGCAGUAUAGGUCAUAAAUCCUGCCUCUGCUGGCCAUCUUUGUGGGGCUGUGGACAAACUUCAGAAAUUAAUUACACAGAUAUACAUUUUUCUCCCCCAUGCUUGCAAUGUUGACAUUUAGGUUACUGUUAGACUUGUUUGUGCUCAAAUUAUCUUUUUUCUGUGCAGUUCAAUUUUUAAAAGUUAUAAGGGGGUUCAUGUUUUCUAUGAUUGACACUUGAUACAGCCUAUGGGCGUAUAAAGAUUGCAUAGCUCACCCAGGGGAUACGCUGUUUGAGCCGAGCGUCAUCACGGCCACUCUCGGCGACUCCCCCUCUGAAUGCGCACAAUGCUACUGCGCAAUGUUGGUUUCAGGAAGUGGAGGAAAAACGCCGAAAAACUGAGAGCUUUUCGGCUUUAAAUUCGUAUACUAGCAGAAGGCAAAACCAAGUUGUCCAUAGUAUAUACAGUCUAUGGUUUCAUCCAUGUGGUUGAAGAUCAAAUAGGAGAUUUAUGGGAUUUAGUACAAACUUAAAACAAUUACACCUGACAAAACAAGAAUACUCUAGUAAGCAACUGUCGAGCUUAAGGCCACACAGUGAUUACAGCAUUGAAUCUGAGUUAUCGUAAACUGACAAACACGUAGCAGGUGUUUGGUGGUCCCUGCAUGUUCCUCAACAGUAAGCUGAGUACGAGCCUCUAUGGGGGCACAUUAUUCACAGAGCAUGAGUAGUUUCAUUUGACAGCCACAAAGCAGGUCCAAAAUGAACUGCAGGUUGUCAAUAUGCAGUUCUAGAUGACAGAAUCUAUUAUCCCGGCUUAUUGUGGCCUUGGGCAAGCUAGCAUGCUGACAGAUGCUCUUUCGUGGCUGUGAAUCCACUCAGUUUCUACAAACUUCUCCUUCCCUUCACUUUCCCUUAGUUUUUCUUGCCCUCAUUUAUUUUCUCGCUCACCUCUUGUUGUUUUUUUUCCCUCCUCCACCCUUCGCCUCAUUUCUUCUUCUCUCCAUCCUUCUGGUCCCACGCUCCUCCUCCUCU